AGGACGAACGCUGGCGGCGUGCUUAACACAUGCAAGUCGAGCGAGGCCCUUCCUUCGGGAAGGAGCCCUAGCGGCGAACGGGUGAGUAACACGUGGGCAACCUGCCCCUAGCACUGGGAUAACUCCGGGAAACCGGGGCUAAUACCGGAUAUGACCUUUGAGGGCACCCUCUUUGGUGUAAAGGAUUCUGGCUAGGGAUGGGCCCGCGGCCUAUCAGCUUGUUGGUGGGGUAAAGGCCUACCGAAGGCGACGACGGGUAG
rnacentral:rRNA from 1 species